GUGCGGCCCGGUUUAGGUGCACCAGAAGACAGCGGCACCGCACCGGGCGCAACUACCGCGUCCGUGCCGUGAUCCACUCCCCAUUGCCCCCCGACCCUCGUGCACGCGCAGAGUAAUCGGCUCAGAAACGCAGGCAGCCCAGCCCACGCCGCGAGGAAGCCUGAGGCCGAGAGAGGACUGAGCAAGCGUCCCGCGAGAAACUGGUGUUCCGGACCACCACGCGGAUGGGCUCGGGCGACCCGGCGGCCGACCCCCUUUCUUCCUUCCUCCGCCACCCCGGCGCGUUCUCCUUCUCCCGUCGCGUCGCCAUGGCGCGCGACGCCACCGCCACAUCCGUGCCAGCGCUCCGCCCCUGGAUCGUUGACCUCCUCCCGCUCCUCGUCGUCCUCCUCAUCGCCGCCCACGUCCUCGCCCUCGGUUACUGGAUCUACAGGCUCGCCACGGACGGGUCCAGGCAGCCCGCGCGGAGCAAGAAGCACUAAGGGGACGGCGCCCGCGGCCGGAUGCUUGAAACCAGUUUGUUAUUUCAGUCCUGCAUCCUUGGCUUGUUGAUCUCCAACCUUCCAACGUCAGAUGAUGGCGUGGAAAGUUCCUGAAAGAACUAGGACAGGGAACCGAUCUUAUCCAAUGGUUUGUUCAGAUGUUGGUGUCAAAAGUGACGAUAGCUGAAUAGCUGAUAUGUGGAAGGAGGCCCUUUUGAGCAUAAAUAGUUUUCGGUUGCUGGAUAGGUUUGACAUCUCUCGACCUCUCCGUGUAAAGAACAGUAGCUAGACAGAUGUGCCGUUUCAUAUGUUGUGGCCUGGUGGGCUUUUGUAAUUCAUGAGCAGCAUUUUAUUACUGGGCAAUUAAGUUAACGAGGCAUACUAUAAUGUUAUGAGAGAGAGCUAUCGAAUAUCGUCUAAGAGAAAUAAUAAGGAUCUAUAUAAACUAAUUUGGUUUUAUGCUUGAAAGAUAAACCAUAGAAGUCAUUUUCUUAAUAAGAUAAGUGGUGGAGGUGUAUGGAGAGUUAGACCGUGUCCAAUAGUUCACCUAUGUGAUCAUCUAAAACAAUGUAUUGUAUUAUAGACUGUAUUAUUCGUAGAGUUGAGUUUAAAUAUAGGUAUUAGGAUGGGUAAGCUGCUGGAGAUAGUCUUAGGGGUGUUUGUUUGGAAUUAUAAAAACAUGCCCUUAGUAAGAUAAGCAAUGAGGUAUAGGGACAAGGACCUAUAUGUAUGAUUUUCAUCAAUUUAGAGAGAGCUUAUGACAAAAUACUAAAAAAUGUUAUGUAGUGGGCUUUAGAUAAUCAUAAAGUUUUAAUGAAGUAUGUUGAACUCAUUAAUAAUAUUGUGACCAAUAUUCAACAAGUGAUGGGACACUGAUGACUUUCGUAUUAGAGUAAGACUAUAUCAAAGAUCAGUUUUGAGCCCUUAUCUUUUUGUCUUGGUGAUAGAUGAGGUCAAAGGGGUAUAUAAUUUCGGAUGAUAAAGUGGUACUUGAUGAAAACCUAAUAUGAGUAACUAUAAAUUAGAGUUCUUGUAGGGGACUUUAGAGUUUAAAGGUUUUAAGCUUAGCAGAACUAAAAUUAAAUACAUGAGAUGCGAUUUUAGUGCUACUACACAAAGGUAUAAGAAAGGAGACGCCGAUUUGGAGGGUCAAGUAGUACCCAAGAAGGAGAUCUUAGUUUGAAAGGUUAAGUAGUACCUCGAGGACUUAUUCUCUAGCUAGUACCCCACGAAACAAGGCGCUUUGGGGACAUUAUAUUUCAACCUUUGAGGUCCUAGGGCACUAAAGGCCCCAGUCCUCAUAUGCUUAGGUAGCCAGUUUGUCAGGUUCCACCCUCCCUCUCUUCCAUUUUUAGUUUCGCAACCUCCGACCCCACCUUCCCCCUUCCACCAGCCCUCUUCUCUAGUGUUGUGAUAUGACCUCGUUCCACUGCCGAAGAGCACGGUGGAGGAGGUAGCUCGCGCGUGGGCGAAGCAGCAGCAGAAGGACAAGAAAGACAGGGUGGAGAAGAAACGUAGGAGGACCGCACAUCAGAUGCACAGGGACCGUGGUGCCGAGACUGACUCGGCCGACGAGGACGAGGAUGAUGACGCGAGUGCAGGCUCCGAAUUCUGGGCCAUUCCGGAUACGUCCCUUGCUGCAUCGACACCGGAUUCCGUCUCGGCCUUUUUAGGCGGGGCGACAAGCGACUUCCCAAUCAUGGAGGAAGACGACUUCCCGGAACUCCCCGCCCUAUUCUUUGGGUCGAUGGCUUCGAUGGCACUCGUUUCCUUACCCGCCGAUCCUCUGGUCGACCGUCCAUCCGGGGCUGCUUGCACGGGGAGCUUGACUGCCUCGGGUCCGUCGGCGACUCUAGCUGGCGCACCUCUGGAGAUGUCUGCUCCUACUUCUGAAGCAGGCAGUGGGACCAUCGCUCCGCCCAGAUGCCCCAGAGGCACGGUGCCUUCCGUGGGGCAGAGGUUCGUGGGCGCGUGAUCAGUCGGGCGGGGACUUAUCGGUCCCAGCGAUUUGAUUUCUUAUGUCGUCAUAACUCCUGGUCUCCUUCAUUUUUCUCUUUUUUAACAGUCCCCAGCCUAUCGCCUUACUAUCGUGCGUGCGAAAGGUGAUUUCCAAGAGGAGGAUAGUGCCCACCGUCAGGGAGUGCGGUGGUGCCGUCAAGUUCUUCCCUACCAAUGUUUCCGCAAGGCGCCCCUAGGGUCAAGACCCUAGGUUUGUUUCGCUUGGCACCCCCGAGCUACUUGGGCUUAGCACGAGGGCGAUCGAGCUUUACCUUUCUAUUUUCUCUCCCUCUGUUUAGCCGACCUCGCCGGCACGAUGGAGACCGAAGGGGGAGAUUGUCUCUCCUUACUCGCGGGGAGCCUCAGAUUGUGUCGUCGGGGCUUGAUGAUCGAGCUGCGUCCGACUUGCUCUAGAUCUCUCUACUGAGGGCAACGACCCCCUAGCCCUGUGCAGAGAUUUGUGUGAGGAGGGCGAUGCGUGUGAGAGGGCGUUGUGAGACAACCUCGAUCAACUUUCAACCACGUACCGAAAACUUGUGGUAAGCCGUGUGUGGGUAGCUGGGUGCGGGAAACGUUCCUCCUGCUAAUCCCCUGUCAUCCGACUUUCACGUUUUCAAUCGUUCGCGGGGAUGCUGGCAGACAGGCUCCGCCUCCUACUGGACCAAAAUGUGGCAAGGGAGCGUUCCACUAGCGAUAUUCUGGUAGCGAGAAGCGAGGCCACCGAAGCCCGCGCUCGUGGCUACGUUGAUCUAGAAUGCUUACGAAAACCUGGUCGGUGCGACGAGUAGGGACAUGUAGUCGGCGACCCUCGCCUGCCUUGAAAGAGCAAAGGCGAACUCUCAUCUUCGCAUCCUGGAGUGAGGAAAAGCGGUUGCCAAGGCCUGGGGUCGUGGCCCUGGAAGAAGAGUUGAAUGGCCGAACCAAGAAAGAGACAUGCAAGGGAAAUCUGACGCCACCGAAGGGACUUCCUCGUGAUGUAGCACCGCUCGGAGGAACCGGAGAGGGAGAAGCUUCUCUUAUCGGAGGUGGUGAAUGCGAUGCAGGGACGCUUCAGGGUGCUUCCCACGCCUGAGUCAAAAUCGGUCGUCUCCCACCUUGAGGGCCUCGUCGGUUGGUUCUAGGAGCUCGAGAAGGAAUCCUUCUGCCAUGGGAUCUGCCAGGCUUUCGCCGUCGUAAUGUCUCACUAUGAAGGGGGAUCAAGCUGAAGGAGUUGAGCAAAGGCUAUUGCGACGCUUGGAGCGAUUCAGACUUUGCCGGCACGGUGAAGGCUCAACAGCCUUCCGCUUGUGAGCUUGGUGCAGCCCUACUCGAGAGUGCUCUACCUGGGGGAGCCAAGGUGGCCCUCGCCUUCGUGAUGACUACCGGAGAAGAAAGAGGGCCUUUCUCUCCUUGUGUCAUAUGAGACUCCUCACACUCGCCUGUGCCUACCAGCGCCUUGAGAGUGACUUUUCCCUUAAACGAUCUCGAAACCAGAACACGGUUGAUCGUUUGAAUAUUGUUCGCUGACAAUGAUAGGAUUCGUGGGGCACGCAGCAUGCCUUGGCCACAAUGAGCCUCCCUCGUGCUUGGCUUUACAUGCUUCGCCGGAAGCAUCGCGUCAAGCGACCUUUCCGACUUCAACCAUGGGACCUCCAUGUUGCUCAUGCGGUGUGAGGCUGAGGGCGCUGAGGGCCUCCGAUGCGGUGUUGGGGCCUUCAAACAAAGUUGGUCGGGUGGGCACCACCCUGACCAUGUUGCUUUCCCGGCCGAUGUCGAGGCAGGGUCCGCCGUCGGCCCUCGUUCCCUUGGGCAGAGAUCGGUUCUCCAUCGGUGAGCAUGGUAUGGGUGACUUAGAUAUUUUCUCAUUUCAAAUGCUUUUAAAGUCGAGAAAGUUGAUCCAACUCUUUUCACUAAGACUUAUAAUGGUGACUUGUGUAUAUGCUAAAUAUAUGUCGAUGAUAUACUAUUUGGUUCUACUAAUCAAGUUUUAUGAGGAGUUUAGCAAGGCGAUGAUGCAGAAAUUCGAGAUGUCGAUGAUGGGUGAGCUGACCUACUUCCUCGACUUUCAAGUAAAUAGCUUAAAUAAGGCAUCUUCAUCUCCCAAACGAAGUAUACAUAAGGCAUCCUUAAGAAGUUCGGGAUGAAGGAUGCAAAGCCCAUCAAGACGCCGAUGGGAAUGAAUGGACACUUGGAUCUCAACGCGGGAGGUAAGUCCGUAGAUCAAAAGGUAUACCAGUUUAUGAUAGGUUUCUUUAUUUAUGUGCAAGUAGACUGGAUAUUGUGCUUUCCAUAUGUUUAUGUGCUAGAUGUCAAUCCGACCCCAAGGAAUGUCACAUUGUGGCAGUGAAGCGAAUUCUAAGCUAUCUAGCUAGUUCGUUCAUACGCCUCACUUCAAGCUAUGGUAUCCUAAGGGGUCUACCUUGGACCUAACUGGAUAUUCGGAUUUCGAUUAUGUCGGGUGCAAGGUAGAUAGGCAGAGCAUAUCGGGGACAUGUCAUUUUUUAGGGAGGUCUCUGGUGUCAUGGAGCUCAAAGAAACAAAAUUCCUUUGUGUGAACUCUCAUUUCUAGACCAAGUUUGUGUUUUUAGUGACUAUUUUGCAGGAUCACAUAUUCACCUCCCUCUAGGUGCUCUCAAUAAUCACCAAAGCCACUCAACAAUCAUCUGGUGCCUCGAAGCCAUUUAGGUAGCAACAACCACCAGGAGUAACAUGAACCACACGACUCAAUAUGAUCACUAGUACUACUAAAUGCAACAAUUCAAUGUGAAUCACUAGAUAUCACUUUCAAUCUCUUUAUGGAUGAAUCACUACCAUUAGAAGUGAGCCAAAGAUAUUUUUGGGUUUACUAGGUUGUAUAUCAAGUUAGGAAGCCAUAAUGCUCACCCAAAACCUAGACAUGCUCUAUUUAUAAGGUCAUAUAUAAGGAGCACAUAAAAAAGUGCCUUUUUAGCGGGUGACAUAUUUGGAUCUCUAUAUAUAAUAUGUUUAGGUGCUCGCUGUUAGCACAUUGGACCCCGAAAGGCGAGUGCCUUGACAUGGAUGUUCCCCCGUUUAAUCUUCAGUUCCAGAUCCAUAGCCGUCAUAUAUAUCAAGAGCCAUGUGCCGUAUGUGCCUGGCUCUGGCUGUAUCACGCCAUGUGGCAGCCUAUAGCUCGGUACACUACUGCAAAAGUGUCGGCAACGCGUUGUUGCAUGACUGGAGCAUCAGCAGUUGAUCACACGCGGAAAGCGGCUUCUCCUUGUGUUUGCUUGUUGCUCUGCACAAACGGCCGUUUCUUUUUUUUUUUCUUUUAGGAAAAGAGAGAUGAAGAAAAGAAACAACGUAUAGAGAGCUACAGCGGAUUAAUCUCACGUACGGCAAUGCAGACAAGAGAGAGAGAGAGAGAGAGAGAGAGAGAGAGAGAGAGAGAGAGAGAGAGAGAGAGAGAGAGAGA